AACGAACGCUGGCGGCAUGCCUAACACGUGCAAGUCGAACGAGACCUUCGGGUCUAGUGGCGCACGGGUGCGUAACGCGAGGGAACCUGCCCUUAGGUUCGGAAUAACUCCCCGAAAGGGGUGCUAAUACCGGAUAAUGUCUUCGGACCAAAGAUUUAUCGCCUUUGGAUGGGCCCGCGUUGGAUUAGCUAGUUGGUAGGGUAAAAGCCUACCAAGGCGACGAUCCAUAGCUGGUCUGAGAGGAUGAUCAGCCACACUGGGACUGAGACACGGCCCAGACUCCUACGGGAGGCAGCAGUGGGGAAUAUUGGACAAUGGGCGAAAGCCUGAUCCAGCAAUGCCGCGUGAGUGAUGAAGGCCUUAGGGUUGUAAAGCUCUUUUACCCGGGAUGAUAAUGACAGUACCGGGAGAAUAAGCUCCGGCUAACUCCGUG
rnacentral:rRNA from 1 species